AUACAGAGGGUGCAAGCGUUAAUCGGAAUUACUGGGCGUAAAGGGUGCGUAGGUGGUUUCUUAAGUCAGAUGUGAAAGCCCCGGGCUCAACCUGGGAAUUGCAUUUGAUACUGAGUAACUUGAGUAUGGUAGAGGGAAGUGGAAUUUCCAGUGUAGCGGUGAAAUGCGUAGAUAUUGGAAGGAACAUCAGUGGCGAAGGCGACUUCCUGGACCAUUACUGACACUGAGGCACGAAAGCGUGGGGAGC
rnacentral:rRNA from 1 species